AAAAGUUUUAAAGAAAUAAAUUGUACUUUAUUGUACGCCAUUUUCACACCACCAGCUGAAUACUACUAACAAUAUUUUCCCAACCCUUCCUGUUAUCAGAAAGUGUCAGUUGCGAAAACAAAUCAUUCAUGGGUGAAAAUCUUGCCUCUGAAUAGCGUAUACCAUAGCGUAUACAAUAGCAAAUGUAAAAGAGUUGUUUUUGCAAGGUGCUACUGUACAUCCACACCACUAGGUGUCAGUAUUACAUCUGAGAUCCCUGUUCUAUAAUCAAGUGCGACAUAAAAAUUACUGAGUAAACAUUAAAACAGAAUAUUAUUGAAUAACUUGCUGUUUUACCAAAGAAUAUUCAGUAUCAACGGCAAGAUAUUUUCAUUUAAAGGGGACAUCGGAAGAAAAAAAAAACUUUUACAUGGUGUUUGCAUAUAAAUGUGUCUUAGCAGUGUGUGGACACAACCACCCUACAAUGAUAAAAAAAUCCAUUCACUCCUUUUUUUUUAAUCCCCAAAAAACCUAAACAGUCUAAAUUAUCAAGCUAUUUAGAUUUUCUGAGCAGUAUGACAUCACACUGCUCAGGCUCCGCCCACGACCGCUGACGUACUGUCCCGUAUUAGCAUUUUUCCACCCUCAGCCAGUUGUACGUUGUCCACCAGUUUCUCCAUACUCGAGCAGCUGUAGCGAGAACAGUGUCUCGUAAGCAAUCCAGGUGUUUUGUAGUUGGAUGUAAAAGUAAACAUAAUUUUCUCCCGACAUGAGAGCCACUGAGGACGAAGUGGAUAGGUUUUGUUGUUGAUGGUAACGAAUGCACCGAAUGAUGCACUAAAAUGGGUAACUGGUUAUAAGGUAAAAAGGUGUCGAUUUACAUGACCAUUGAGGAAUUUUAACCAAAGUAUAUUGCAUACAUUUCAUGAAGACCCUAAAGAAUCCUACCAACUUUAACAAUGCGUUCACCAUAGUUAGUUUCCUAGACAUCAUGGAAGGUGAUUUUCCCUGAAAAAUCUUUUCCAGACUGGAAAUAACGACGGUGGAACAGUGUACCUGCCCUAUACCACGACCUGAUCACUGCCCAAAGCCCAUAAUUGGACUGGUCUGUAUUCACCAGACAACUCGACAAACCCUGUGUGGUUUAAUAAGACAGCUUCAGCAGUGUGUCCUCUCAACCCCAAUUUGGUGUGCUCCCUGCCGCCCUCGCUGGUCUAUGCUGAGUAGAGGAGGUCCAAAGGUGACUUUACCUGUCAUUCAUGCAGUCGGGAGCCCUUUGUUUCCCCGAUUAUGAAUUUAUAAUGAAUAUCACCCUCACCUCAGGACGGCACAGUAAUCUAAUUAAUGUAACAAAUGUGUCAGGCGUGUUCUAGCUAAAGGCAUAUGACAUUAGCAUAGCAUAGCUUCCUUUAGCAGUCUGUAGAAGGCUUAGAGUUCAGUAAGUAAUGCUUUUGCCAAAGAGGACUAAUUUUAGUAAACAAUCAGACCUUAAAACAGAUUUAAUGUUAUAAUGGGUCCUACUAGCCACACAAUACAAUAAAGCAACAAGCUACUAAAACUAUACCAAAAAGGAUGUUAAUAUGAAAUUUUGUGCUAAUUAGUCAUUGUAGCAAUCCAGCAUUUUGUUAUAACUGGCCUUGUGCUAUGUAUGUCAAAAAAGGAGUAGCCUGUCUCGUCGCAC
ensembl:lncRNA